rnacentral:rRNA from 1 species
AGUGAACGCUGGCGGUAGGCCUAACACAUGCAAGUCGAACGGCAGCACAGUAAGAGCUUGCUCUUACGGGUGGCGAGUGGCGGACGGGUGAGGAAUACAUCGGAAUCUACUUUUUCGUGGGGGAUAACGUAGGGAAACUUACGCUAAUACCGCAUACGACCUACGGGUGAAAGCAGGGGAUCUUCGGACUUUGCGCGAUUGAAUGAGCCGAUGUCGGAUUAGCUAGUUGGCGGGGUAAAGGCCCACCAAGGCGACGAUCCGUAGCUGGUCUGAGAGGAUGAUCAGCCACACUGGAACUGAGACACGGUCCAGACACCUACGGGAGGCAGCGGUGGGGAAUAUUGGACAAUGGGCGAAAGCCUGAUCCAGCAAUACCGCGUGGGUGAAGAAGGCCUUCGGGUUGUAAAGCCCUUUUGUUGGGAAAGAAAAGCAGCAGGUUAAUACCCCGCUGUUCUGACGGUACCCAAAGAAUAAGCACCGGCUAACUUCGUG